rnacentral:rRNA from 1 species
GUGGGGAAUAUUGGGCAAUGGGCGAAAGCCUGACCCAGCAACGCCGCGUGAAGGAAGAAGGUCUUCGGAUCGUAAACUUCUAUCCUUGGUGAAGAUAAUGACGGUAGCCGAGAAGGAAGCCCCGGCUAACUACGUGCCAGCAGCCGCGGUAAUACGUAGGGGGCAAGCGUUGUCCGGAAUGAUUGGGCGUAAAGGGCGCGUAGGCGGCCUGGUAAGUCUGGAGUGAAAGUCCUGCUUUUAAGGUGGGAAUUGCUUUGGAUACUGUCGGGCUUGAGUGCAGGAGAGGUAAGCGGAAUUCCCGGUGUAGCGGUGAAAUGCGUAGAGAUCGGGAGGAACACCAGUGGCGAAGGCGGCUUACUGGACUGUAACUGACGCUGAGGCGCGAAAGUGUGGGGAGCAAACAGGAUUAGAAACCCUUGUAGUCC